rnacentral:rRNA from 1 species
AGUCACUGACAUUAGAUACCCCUGUAGUCCCAGCCGUAAACAGUGUGCGUUAGGUAUGUCGGUAACCACGUGUUACUGAUGUGCCGAAGAGAAAUCGUGAAACGCACCACCUGGGAAGUACGGUCGCAAGGCUGAAACUUAAAGGAAUUGGCGGGGGAGCACCACAACAGGUGGAGCCUGCGGUUUAAUUGGAUUCAACGCCGGACAUCUCACCGGAUAAGACAGCUGAAUGAUUGUCAAUCUGAAGGUUUUACAUGACUAGCUG